AAGGUGCUUCUCGACAGGUGUGUUUGAGCCACGAUCCAGAGCAACUGAUGGCUCUCCUCUCCCCGGUGUACGUCGCAUUAGCAGUAACGUGUUACCAGACGUAAACCGGCCAGAUGAGUUUUAUACCUCGUCCUUCAUGGUGUGGGGACAGUUCAUUGACCACGAGAUUACCCAUAUUCCUUUCCCUACUAUGGAAAAUGGAGAAGGAAUUCAGUGCUGCCCUAAUGGAACACUGGCACCCGCGGCCAUGCGUCAUCCCAGAUGUAUGCCCAUUGAUCUUACUGGUGACGCCUUCUUUGGGCGUCUAGGAAGAACCUGCAUGAACUUCGUCAGGAGUAUGGUCGCCGUGGGAGCUGGAUCAGAAUGUGUUUUUGGCUAUGCCGAGCAGCUGACCCAGAUUACACACUGGAUAGACGGUUCUGCAAUAUACGGCUCCACUGCCGAACAAAUGCGGAACUUAAGAACAUUCAAGAACGGUCUCUUGAGGACCUCUGGUAACAACAUUUUGCCCGUUAAUAGCAACCAGGGAGGAAACUGCGAGGCUCGGGAACGUGGAGCUCUGUGUCUCUCCGCAGGUGACUCGCGAGUGAAUCAGCAGCCUGGCUUGACCUCCAUUCAAAUUCUGUGGUUGAGACAACACAACCGUGUAGCAGGAGAACUUCAGAAACUGAACCCCAAGUGGUCGGACGAAGCUGUCUUCCAGGAGACCCGCAGGAUCCUCACUGCGCAGGAGCAACACAUCAUUUUCAACGAGUGGCUCCCCAUUGUCUUAGGAAAGAAUCUUAUGACAGCUUUCGGUUUGAAUACACUUAGAUCAGGCUUCAGCAGAGACUAUAACCCCACCAUCAACCCCAACAUGAACAAUGAAUUCUCCACAGCAGCCUUCAGAUUUGGACACAGCUUGGUGCAAGGAACUCUCCGACUGUUUACGCAAAAUGGCGGUGUAGACAACAUCAGGCUUCGUGACCACUUCAACUCUCCUCAUCUCAUCGAGUUACAAAAUCGUCUAGACGACAUUAUUCGAGGCUUCACACAACUUGCUAUGCAACAGUUUGACGCCUUCGUCACGGAGGACUUGACGAACCAUCUGUUCCAGACUCCCAGGUUUACCUUUGGCUUGGACUUGAUGAGUAUCAAUCUUCAACGUGGCCGCGACCACGGCAUCGCCACCUACAACAGCUUCAGAGAGAUCUGCGGUCUACCGCGCGCCCGUACCUUCAACGACCUCACAGACCAGAUGAGUCCUGAAAACGUUCAAAAACUGGCCGGAGUUUACAAGAGCGUUGAUGAUAUUGACUUCUUCGUGGGUGGACUCUCCGAGAGGCCUGUCCCUGGCAGUCUCCUGGGCUGGACUUUCCUCUGUGUCGUAGGAGACCAGUUCGCCAGACUUAAGAAGGCAGAUCGAUACUUCUACGACCUCGCAGGACAACCAGGCUCCUUUAAAGAAGCUCAGUUGCAGCAGAUCCGUCGCUCCUCUUGGGCCAGGCUCAUGUGUGACAACUCUAAUAUUAACGCCGUCCAGCCACUAGCUUUCAGACAGACCAACAACAGAUUUAACCAACCAGUGCCGUGCAACAGUCCCAUGAUCCCACGACCUGACUGGACUCCUUGGCGCGGGGAGAGAGCUGCUGCCUAGCUCUGAUGGGCCCUAGCUCCUGGCUCCUCUAAUGGUUCCUUGCUACUACUUCAUCCGAUAGUUCUUGUUCCUCUCGUUUCCUUGCUCCCUUAAUAGAUUUUGGUUCCCCUGACAGAUCUUUGCUCCUAGCUCCUGGUUCCUCUGAUGGCUCAUGGCUCCUCUGAUAGUGCCUUGUUCUUAACUCAUCUGAUUGUUCUUGCUUCACUCAUUAUUCCUCUCCUAGUUCCUCUGUCGUGUCUUAGCUUCUUUCUCCGUUGUUUAUUGCUAUUGCUGCCCUAGUGGCUAAUUAACUGUUUAUCCAUAACUCAGUCUUUAAGCGUUAGCACAAAAUGAAUUAGAGAACACAAAAAUGUCUUCAUCACACCCCACUGGGUAAAUGAUUAUUUUUUUUAACACGUCGGUAGUUUUCCACCGAGGCAGGGUGUCCCAAAGAAAGAAAAACUUUAGUCAUUCAACACUUUCACCAUUAUACAUAAUCACUGUCUUUGCAGAGGCGCUCAGAUACGACAGUUUAGAUGUCACUCCAAACAGCCAAUAUCCCAACCUCCUUUAAAGUGCAGGCAUUGUACUUCCCAACUCCAGGACUCAAGUCCAGCUAACUGGCUUCCCUGAAUCCCUUCACAAAAUAUUACCCUCCAACAGCUCGUCAGGCCCCCCAGAACGAUUAGUCUCCAUUCACUCCUAUGUAACACGCUCACGCAUGCUUGCUAGAAGUCCACAAAACCUCCUUUACCCCCCCCCCUCCAAACUUUCCUAGGACUACCCUUACCCCGCAGAUAUUACAGAAUUAUAUAAUACUUUUCUCUGACUGAUGAAACAACAAAACUACCUCAUGUUCUCGCAUAUCUUUAAUAAUGAAUUGAUUUAUCAGCUUUCUUAAAAGUUGUAUUUUUGGACUGUGUAAGAAUGUACCGUAGGUGUCCUUACUAUCUUGUUCUACUUAUUGUAGUUAAUCUGACUAACACUAGAUUGAAUAAGGUAAUUAGCGAUGUGAUUGUAGUAUGAACUAGGUAUCACAUACAACAACUUUUAGUAUAUAAUAAAUAAUUUUUGCUGAUUGUUUCAUAGUCAAAAUUGUCAACUGGAGUUUUUUUUUUUUUUCAAACAUACAUCUAGCAAAAAAAAUCCUGAUUUUAUGUGACUUCCUCAUUGCCAAUGACUACGAGUGAGAGAAGGUAGAGAACACCUUAAAUUACGAGUGAGAGAAGGUAGAGAACACCUUAAAUUAGGAAUCCCCCGAAAGGGGAUGUCUAUUGUGGCUGUCGGAUUAUUUUUUUUUUCCUUCAAAAUGUCAGUGCAACACCUUAAGAACGUCGAUUCUGGUCAACUUCACUUUGUUUUUUACUAACGUGUCCUCGUUAAAGGCAGGCAUAAAUUAUUGGAUAUAAGUAAGUAAGUUUAUUCAGGUAUACACAAAUACAGUUACAUAGAAUUAUCAUACAUAGCAGCAUAUGUGUAGAGAACCUGGGAUAACCCAAAAAAGUCAGACAGUGACUUAUUUCCAUUGGGGUCCUUUUACCUUAUUAUUAUAAUAUAAAGGUUAUAAUAUUUUCUUAUUAUUCUACAAUGAAGAUAACAUCUUAUUAUCAUACUAAAAAGACUAUCUACUACACGAGGGUCAUUAAGACUAUCUACAAUACGAGGGUCAUUACUAGGAAUAAAGUAAAAUUUACAUGUAUGUUAGCUAAAAAAUAGAAAAUUAUUCCCCUCCCUUUCUGUAGCUACAUUCAUCAGACACCUUUUGGCACUUCUUGAACUGGUUCAUGCUAUGACUGGCUUUGACAUGUGCGGGCAGUCUGUUCCAUUCCUUUAUUGCUGUACAAUAAAAGGUGUUUGAUGCCUGGCCAAUGACUGUGGGUACUACAAAGUUGUGCUCUCUCCCCCUAGUACUAUGAUUGUUUUGGUUCCCAACCUUGACAAAAUUGACAGCAAGAUAUUCUGGACACUGUUUGUGAGCAAUUUUAUAAACAUGAUUUAGCUUCAGUUGUUUUACUCUGUCUUCAACAUUCAGCAUAUCCAACUGCUGUAAUUCAUCCUGGCCUACAUGUUCUCUUGGUCCCAGCCCCAGGA